GGCUGAGGCUGUGCCCUGCCUCAGGGAGCCGGCGGCGCAGCUGCGGGCAGAGCUGAGCGGGUGGCAGUGGAGGCAGCAGGCAACCCUGGAGCAGGCGCUGCAGCACAUGCACGCGGCCACCUGCACCCAGGAGAAGCUGCAGAGGAGCCAGGAGCAGCUCCAGGCCCUGAGGGAGCAGCUGGGGGCAGAGCAGGAGCAGAGCCAGGGCCUGCGGCACAGCGUGGCUCGGCUGGAGCAGGAGCUGGGAGCCACCUGGGCCCGGGAGCAGCAAAGGCUACAGCAGCUCAGUGGUGCCACAGAGACCAUCCAUGACCUGCAGCAAGAAGCAGCCUCCACCAGAAAGCGCCUGGCAGAGCUGCUGCAAGAGAUAGAAACCCUGCGCUCCUCCCAGGCUCUGGCACGCCACAAGAGCAGCCGGACACACAAGGAGAGGGAGCUGGUGCUGGUCAACAUCAGCCAGCACCUGGCGGAGCGGAUGUGAGUGCGGAGCCUCACCAGGGCAGAGGGACAGGGGCUGCCUCCUCCCACCAACUCGCUCAGCUAACACCUUGUUUCCAGGCAGUUACAUGAGAGACAAGGGCAGGAGAUCCAGCAGCAGAGCGAGCAGAGUGUGGAGCUGACGGGGAGCAGGGCCGAGCUCUCUGCACGCUGCUGCUGUCUGCAGGGGUGCAGGGGACAGACGGACAACCACCAGCCUGCCCGUGCUCCCGCCUCCCCCCACCCCCCCAGCCUGCCCACCAGGCAUCUUCAGGGGGCAGGGGGCAGGGGGCAGGAGGAAAACAUGUACCUCGUGGUCAGAACAUGCGAGCACAAGCGCGAGCGGCUGUAGGUGAGCAGGAGACUGGGGGCACAGCCUGGCCUGACAUGGGGCUGGGCCCCUGCUCCAGGCCGGGGCUGCCCGCCUGGGGCACCGGCCAUGGGAGAGUUGCCUCUGCAGCAGCACGGGCCAGUGCUGCGCCGGGGCUGGGCUCUUGGCCCUCUAGGUCAGCGCAGUUCUGUGCCUUGUCCCAGCCUCCACAGGACAAUGACUAGACGGAAUCAGCCCUGCACCACUCUGCAGGGCCGCCCCCACCCGACACUCGCCUCCCGGACAAGAAGCAGUGCAAAACAAAGCAAGGAUUAAACUGACAACCUUUAAACAAAUAAAAUUCUUUCUGUUCUGUAGCA
rnacentral:lncRNA from 1 species